GGAUUGCUAGCUCAAUCGGUAGAGCAGUGGCCUCUUAAGCCAUUGGUUCUGGGUUCGAGUCCCAGGCAAUCCACCA
rnacentral:tRNA from 1 species